rnacentral:rRNA from 1 species
CACGGAGUUAGCCGAUCCUUAUUCGUACCGUACUUUCAAAACCCUACUCGUAAGGCAUUUUACCCCGGUACAAAAGCAGUUUACAACUCGUAGAGCCGUCGUCCUGCACGCGGCAUGGCUGGUUCAGGAUUCCUCCCAUUGACCAAUAUUCCUCACUGCUGCCUCCCGUAGGAGUCUGGUCCGUGUCUCAGUACCAGUGUGGGGGAUUAACCUCUCAGUUCCCCUAGAUAUCGUAGCCAUGGUGAGCCGUUACCUCUCCAUCCAGCUAAUAUCACGCAUGCCCAUCCGGAACCACCUCAGUUUUCAACCGACAAAGAUGCCUUCGUCAGUAUUACGGAGUAUUAGACCAAAUUUCUUCGGAUUAUCCUCCUGUCCCGGGCAGGUUGCAUACGCGUUACGCACCCGUCCGCCGGUCGCCAUCAAUAAAUAUUGCUAUUCAUUAUGCUGCCCCUCGACUUGCAUGUGUUAGGCCUGCCGCUAGCGUUCAUCCUGAGCCAGGAUCAAACU